rnacentral:tRNA from 1 species
ACUAUUUUGACAGAUAAUAUGUGUUAGAUUUAGGAUCUAAGUAAAUAGAUUAAUUCUAUAGGUAGUA